rnacentral:rRNA from 1 species
GACGAACGCUGGCGGCGUGCUUAACACAUGCAAGUCGAGCGGAGCGGCGCACGGGUGAGUAACGCGUGAGUAACUGCCCCCCUUUCUGGGAUAACAGUUGGAAACGGCUGCUAAUACCGGCUAGUGGGGGAUGACUCGCGUCCUAUCCGCUUGUUGGUGGGGUAGUGGCCUACCAAGGCGACGACGGGUAGCCGGCCUGAGGGGGCGACCGGCCACAUUUGGCUGAGAUACGGCCCAAACGCCUACGGGAUGCAGCAGUGGGGAGUAUGGCACAAUGGGGGAAACCCUGAUGCAGCAACGCCGCGUGCGGGAUGACGGCUUUCGUGUUGUAAACCGCUUCCAGCCAUGACGCGGUAGUGGCAGAAGAAGCACCGGCUAACUACGUGCCAGCAGUCGCGGUAAUUC